rnacentral:rRNA from 1 species
GAUGAACGCUGGCGGCGUGCCUAAUACAUGCAAGUCGAGCGAACGGACGAGAAGCUUGCUUCUCUGAUGUUAGCGGCGGACGGGUGAGUAACACGUGGAUAACCUACCUAUAAGACUGGGAUAACUUCGGGAAACCGGAGCUAAUACCGGAUAAUAUUUUGAACCGCAUGGUUCAAAAGUGAAAGACGGUCUUGCUGUCACUUAUAGAUGGAUCCGCGCUGCAUUAGCUAGUUGGUAAGGUAACGGCUUACCAAGGCAACGAUGCAUAGCCGACCUGAGAGGGUGAUCGGCCACACUGGAACUGAGACACGGUCCAGACUCCUACGGGAGGCAGCAGUAGGGAAUCUUCCGCAAUGGGCGAAAGCCUGACGGAGCAACGCCGCGUGAGUGAUGAAGGUCUUCGGAUCGUAAAACUCUGUUAUUAGGGAAGAACAUAUGUGUAAGUAACUGUGCACAUCUUGACGGUACCUAAUCAGAAAGCCACGGCUAACUACGUGCCAGCAGCCGCGGUAAUACGUAGGUGGCAAGCGUUAUCCGGAAUUAUUGGGCGUAAAGCGCGCGUAGGCGGUUUUUUAAGUCUGAUGUGAAAGCCCACGGCUCAACCGUGGAGGGUCAUUGGAAACUGGAAAACUUGAGUGCAGAAGAGGAAAGUGGAAUUCCAUGUGUAGCGGUGAAAUGCGCAGAGAUAUGGAGGAACACCAGUGGCGAAGGCGACUUUCUGGUCUGUAACUGACGCUGAUGUGCGAAAGCGUGGGGAUCAAACAGGAUUAGAUACCCUGGUAGUCCACGCCGUAAACGAUGAGUGCUAAGUGUUAGGGGGUUUCCGCCCCUUAGUGCUGCAGCUAACGCAUUAAGCACUCCGCCUGGGGAGUACGACCGCAAGGUUGAAACUCAAAGGAAUUGACGGGGACCCGCACAAGCGGUGGAGCAUGUGGUUUAAUUCGAAGCAACGCGAAGAACCUUACCAAAUCUUGACAUCCUUUGACGACUCUAGAGAUAGAGCUUUCCCCUUCGGGGGACAAAGUGACAGGUGGUGCAUGGUUGUCGUCAGCUCGUGUCGUGAGAUGUUGGGUUAAGUCCCGCAACGAGCGCAACCCUUAAGCUUAGUUGCCAUCAUUAAGUUGGGCACUCUAAGUUGACUGCCGGUGACAAACCGGAGGAAGGUGGGGAUGACGUCAAAUCAUCAUGCCCCUUAUGAUUUGGGCUACACACGUGCUACAAUGGACAAUACAAAGGGCAGCGAAACCGCGAGGUCAAGCAAAUCCCAUAAAGUUGUUCUCAGUUCGGAUUGUAGUCUGCAACUCGACUAUAUGAAGCUGGAAUCGCUAGUAAUCGUAGAUCAGCAUGCUACGGUGAAUACGUUCCCGGGUCU